GACCUGGUGGUGUAACUGGCAACAUCCCUGCUUCUACUACACUAUAACUAGUAGAUUAGGCAGGAGCUCCCUGUUCGAUUCGGGGUCAGGUCA